UGGCUUGUGACUCAGCCUGGUAGAGUGCCGCCCUUACAAGGCGGAUGCCGAGGGUUCGAAUCCCUCCAAGCCAA
rnacentral:tRNA from 1 species